CACGUAGGCACCAAGCGUUGUCCGGAUUUAUUGGGCGUAAAGGGUGCGUAGGCGGCGCGGUAAGUCGGGUGUGAAAUCUCGGAGCUUAACUCCGAAACUGCAUUCGAUACUGCCGUGCUUGAGGACUGGAGAGGAGACUGGAAUUUACGGUGUAGCGGUGAAAUGCGUAGAUAUCGUAAGGAAGACCAGUGGCGAAGGCGGGUCUCUGGACAGUUCCUGACGCUGAGGCACGAAGGUCAGGGGAGCAAACGGG
rnacentral:rRNA from 1 species